rnacentral:rRNA from 1 species
CCUACGGGAGGCUGCAGUGGGGAAUAUUGGACAAUGGGGGGAACCCUGAUCCAGCCAUGCCGCGUGUGUGAAGAAGGCCCUCGGGUUGUAAAGCACUUUCAGUGAGGAAGAACGCCUGGUGGUUAAUACCCAUCAGGAAAGACAUCACUCACAGAAGAAGCACCGGCUAACUCCGUGCCAGCAGCCGCGGUAAUACGGAGGGUGCGAGCGUUAAUCGGAAUUACUGGGCGUAAAGUGCGCGUAGGUGGCUUGAUAAGCCGGUUGUGAAAGCCCCGGGCUCAACCUGGGAACGGCAUCCGGAACUGUCAAGCUAGAGUGCAGGAGAGGAAGGUAGAAUUCCCGGUGUAGCGGUGAAAUGCGUAGAGAUCGGGAGGAAUACCAGUGGCGAAGGCGGCCUUCUGGACUGACACUGACACUGAGGUGCGAAAGCGUGGGUAGCAAACAGGAUUAGAUACCCGAGUAGUC